UCCCUGGUAGUCCAGUGGUUAGGACUCUGCGCUUCCACUACAGGGAGUAUGGGUUCAGUCCCUGGUCAGGGAA
rnacentral:tRNA from 1 species